UUACAGCCAUAUCAUGUUGAAACUGGUUCCCAUGCAGUCACUGAUGUUAAGCAACAUUGAGCCUGGCCAGUAUCUAGAUGGGGAACUGCAUGGGAAUACCAGGUGCUGUAAG